AGAGUUUGAUCAUGGCUCAGAUUGAACGCUGGCGGCAUGCUUAAUACAUGCAAGUCGAACGGUAACAGGUCCUUCGGGAUGCUGACGAGUGGCGGACGGGUGAGUAAUGCAUAGGAAUCUGCCCAGUAGUAGGGGACAACCUGAGGAAACUCAGGCUAAUACCGUAUAAGUCCUACGGGAGAAAGGGGGCCUCUUCUUGAAAGCUCUCGCUAUUGGAUGAGCCUAUGUCGGAUUAGCUUGUUGGUGGGGUAACGGCCUACCAAGGCGACGAUCCGUAGCUGGUCUGAGAGGACGAUCAGCCACACUGGGACUGAGACACGGCCCAGACUCCUACGGGAGGCAGCAGUAGGGAAUAUUGGACAAUGGGCGAAAGCCUGAUCCAGCAAUGCCGCGUGUGUGAAGAAGGCCUGCGGGUUGUAAAGCACUUUCAGUUGGGAAGAAAAUCUUUAGGUUAAUAUCCUAAAGUCUUGACGUUACCAACAGAAGAAGCACCGGCUAACUUUGUGCCAGCAGCCGCGGUAAUACAGAGGGUGCGAGCGUUAAUCGGAAUUACUGGGC
rnacentral:rRNA from 1 species